rnacentral:lncRNA from 1 species
CAGUCAUGGGGCAGCCCAGAACAUCAUUCUUGCAUUCAGUGGUGCUGCCAAGGCUGUGGGCAAGGUCAUCCCAGAGCUGAAUGGGAAGAUCAUUAGCAUGGCCUUCCGUGUUCCUACCCGCAAUGUAUCCAUUGUGGAUCUGACGUGCAACCUAGAGAAACCUGCCACGUAUAAUGACAUCAAGAAGGUGGUGAAGCAGGCAACCACUAAAGGGCAUCCUGGGCUACACUGAGGACCAGGUUGUCUCCUAUGACUUCAACAGCAACUCCCACUCUUCCACCUUUGAUGCUGGGGCUGGCAUUGCUCUCAAUGACAAUUUUGUAAAGCUCAUUUCCUGGUAUGACAAUGAAUAUGGCUACAGCAACAGGGUGGUAGACCUCAUGGCCUACAUGGCUUCCAAGGAGUAAGAAAUCCUGGACCACCCACCCCAGCAAGGAUACUGAGAGCAAGAGAGAGGUCCUCAGUUGCUGAGGAGUCCCCGUUCUACCCCACCCCAACACUGAGCAUCUCCCUCACAAUUUUCAUCCCAGAACCCCCAUAAUAACAGGAGGGGCCUAGGGAGCCCUACUUACUCUCUUGAAUACCAUCAGUAAAGUUUGCUGCAUCCAAAAAUAAAAAAGAUGCU